AAAGCAUUGAUUGAGGCUUUGAGGUGAGGAAGAAGCUCCCUUUCUGUGAUAUGUGUGAUGGAGAGCCCUGCUCCAUCUGAGCUGGAGGAUGCUGGGGGUCUUCUCCCACCUCUGCUGUGCAAUGUCUCCUCAUGCUCGCCAAGGCAAUAGGAAGGAAUGCAAUCAUGAGGAUGCCUUGUUGGGAGCGGUGCUGCAAAGCAGCCCUCCUGGUGAUUGGCUGCUGACUCUCUGAUCCUAUUCUGGUCCUUUGGAACACUCUGAGGUUGCAUUCAUGGACUCUCAUCUCUUGCUGCAGAGCACUGCUUCAUGCUCUUGUGAUACUUUGCUGCUUUUAUGUGCUAAAGCGGAGAAUUAUAAGAGAGAUUAUAAGUGAGAUUUCCAACGUUGUGCUGGCAGAGCAAAGAAUGAGUGUGGAGCUGUGCUUACCUAAUGAACCCCCAUGUGGCAGGAGGAGGUCCUGUGGCCCACAGCUGCCUGGUGAUGUGCAAAAAGCAAAUUGCUGUCACUGCAGAGGUGCUGAGAGUGACUUCUGGAAGCCCUAUGCAUCUGGAAGCAAAUAUUGCAUGAGGAGGAAAAGAGAAUAUGGGCCAGAAAAUACAGCUGUACUCUCAGAAUGCGUUGGUCACAGGGACAGCAGCUGUCCCCAAACUUAAUAUUUUUCAUUAAAAAGAAAAUUAAG
rnacentral:lncRNA from 7 species